GAACAUCAAUUGGGAAGCAUGCUGGUGGUACAUUGGAUUAUAAGCGUGAAUUCUCAAAAGUUUGCGACUUGAUUAAUUCUCACAUUGAUCAUGGGAAGGAACGAAAGGGCAAGAAGAAAAAUUGUGAGGUGGUUAGUUGUGAGAAAAAAGGAGAAAAGCCACAAGAGAGUGAAAAGGUGGUUGAGGGUGAAAUUUCGAAAGGG
rnacentral:lncRNA from 1 species